ensembl:lincRNA
CCCACCCAGCAGUUUAAGGCUUGGACAGCAGGGGGCACCCCUCCCCAACCCCCGCACACAUGCGCACCUCGGAACCACUCCUCCGACUGCAGCGUGCUCUGCACCGCAUGGCCUUCGAGCUGAGCGCGGAUCUCGCGUAGCGCCGACGUCACGUCGCACUUGAGAGCGUCGCGCGCCUCGGCCUGCGCUUGCGCCUGCGCGGCCCCGCAGCCCUGGAUCUGGCCGAGCAGCUCGCCCACCUCUUCCUGGUGGUGGCGCCGUAGGUAGCCGCACUCCUCCUGCAGUGCCUGCGCCUUCUUCUGCAGCUCGACUCGUGCCGCCUCGGCCUCCUGCGCGAAACGCGCGAGUGCGCGCGCCGCUGCUUCAGCCUCCUCGCGCUGCCGGGCCUCGUCGUCGAGGCGCUGGCGCACGUGUGCGAUGUCCUCGAGCAGGUGCUCCUGCUCCAGGCGCAGCUGACCGCGCGCCGUGCCCAGGCGCAACACGACGCCGCGCAUCUCGCGCACCUCGCGCUCAUACAGCUCACCCAUGGCGGCGCGGCCCGCCUGCUGCUGCCGCAGCGCCGCCGCCUCGCCCUCCAGGCUGCGGUUGUGCGCCUCGAGCUGCCGCACCUUGUCGAUGUAGCCCGCGAAGCGGUCGUUCAGGGCCUGCAGCUGCUCCUUCUCGCUGCGUGCCGCCGCCGCCGCCACCACGCAGCCCUCCGGCCCGUUGCUCAGCGUGUCUAGAGAGUCGGUGCUCGAAGCGGCGCCGGCACCACGGAAGCGGCUUGGCGAGGCCGACACGGAGCUCACGGACGUCCGCGCCCACGAGUGGAAGCCGCUGGAGGAGCCGGUGCCGGAGCGCGUCCCGCCCUUGCGGGCCAGCGCGUAGUGCAGGCCGCCGCCUCCAUGCAGCGGCGCAAACGGGGCGCCCAGCAGCGCGUCCGCGCCGCUGAAGCUCAUCAUGGCCGGAGCAGGUCCAGUCAUGCUCCGGUUUGCAAAGGGGGAGAAGGGCGUGUUUGCAGGUGGUACUGGGAGGAUGAGAUGGGGAAAGCGAGGUCCAGCGAGGAGGGAACAGGUGAAAUGAGUGGUGAGCCCGGCCCCACCAGAUGGCCUUGGGGCGAGGACAAGCCUGCUGCUUUUUCUGGUCCUGGUGUCCUGUCCUGGUCUCAGAGAGAACCCCGAUCCUACAGAGCCAGAAGGAGGGUGAGAGAGCCAGCCUGCCCAAACUACCUGGCUGAGCCUCUGCAGUCCUUGCCAGGAGAAGAUUUACAGCUGCCAGGAGCUCGGGAAGGUUAUGGAGGAAAGGCCUGGUGCAGUACCCAGGGAGCCUGCAGUGCCUGCCAUGGACUUGGCAACCCCGAGCUCUGCAGACCCUCUCAGUGGCAGGCCCUGCAUGUGAAGGUGGGUGAUCCGCAGACCCGAGCUCCCAUACAGCUGCACAGACCCUGGGCAGAGUGCCGAGCCGAGGCCUGGCUGGCUCCUGCUACUGUGGCUAUGAGCAUUAUUAAUUAAUGCAGUCGGGUGGGAUUUAUGGCGUUUGGGUGCCCCAAGGCUUUUCUAGCAGCAGUGGGAUGGUCUCAAAUCGCCAGUAACAACAACCACCCUCCACUGAGCAGGUCUCCUAUGCCAGCCCCAUGGCAAGCACUGUACCUAUGCACACUUCAGUCUUGAAUCGGCCCAGCCGCUGCAAACCUUGUGGAAAGGCUAUUAUUCUUCUCACUUUACAGUGGCUCAGAGAGGCCAAAAAGACCGUGUGAGGUUGCUGGGGAUAUAGAUCAGUGGUAGUGCGCUUGCCUAGUGUUUGUUCAAUUCCUAGCACAGAAAAGAAUAAGACUUAAAAAAUAAAAACAAACACAAAAACCUGCACAAAACUAAGGCCAGUGGUCAGCGGGUGGAGACUUGGGCCUGGUACUCCCAGUUCUGGAGUUCCAGCAUCAGCCUCGGCUGCCCCCUCAGUCCUCCCACAGAGGGGUGGCCACCUGGCUCAGAGACAGCCUCCGCAAGGUGGAAAUGGAGGAAUUAUUGUUCUGUUCAAACUUUUUAAAUCACAAGCAUAGCUGGGGAGAUAGCUCAGCGGCACAAGUGCCUGCCUGGCAAGUGCAAGGUCCUGAGUUUGAUUCCUGGUACCCCCCCC